CAAAAACAUGUCUUUAUGAUAAUUUAUAUAAAGUCUAGCCUGCCCAGUGAUGUUUAAAUUUAACGGCCGCGGUAGUAUGACCGUGCUAAGGUAGCAUAAUAAUUUGUCCUUUAAUUGGGGACUGGUAUGAACGGUUGAACAAGAAAUUAACUGUCUCUACUGCAGAUUUUGAAUUUUACAUUUAAGUGAAAAGGCUUAAAUGAGAUAGGGGGACGAUAAGACCCUAUAAAUCUUUAUGUUUUGACUAAUAAAUUUUAGGGAUUAGUUAUAUACCUAGUAUUAUUAGUUGAAAUAUUUUGUUGGGGCGACAGGAGUAUAAUAAGUAACUGCUUUGCUUAUAAAAUUAAUUGUUUUUAUUGUGGAAAUUGGUAUGAUCCUCUUUAGAGAAAUCAGACUAAGUUACUUUAGGGAUAACAGCGUAAUCUUUUUUGAGAGUUCAUAUCGAAAAAAUGGUUUGCGACCUCGAUGUUGAAUUAAAGAUCCUUGAUGGCGUAGGGGCUAUUAGGGGAGGUCUGUUCGACCUUUAAACCUUUACGUGAUCUG
rnacentral:rRNA from 1 species